CCUGGGAGCUGGUGCAGACGCAAAGCGCAUGCUGCUGGAUAAAUUUUUAGAUGUGAAAUUUCUGGAUCAAGUGGUCAUCAUUUGUUUCUGCAUCAUUUAUUGAAUAAUCCAGCAUUCUUCCACUGAUUUGAAAUGGAAACAAUUGUUCUCUUGUUAGGUAGGGUGUAGCUUUCCACAGGUCGGCCAUUUUCUUUCUACCUAAGGUGGUUACAUUCCACAAUACUACUCCUACCUUCUUAACAGCUUCUGAAAGCAUUCCAAUGUGUCAUAGUCAUGCUUAUGCACUUCAAGAAUUCUAGGCACAUUCAGUUUCAGGCAGAUGCUUUCAAACAGGAUUUUAAAAUUAAUUACUUAAAAAUUUUAUCAGAUCUUUUCUUACAAAUUAAAAUUGAGAAAUCUGAAUAUAAAUCACUGAUCCAGAUGUGCUUAUUCCUUUUAAACACACCUGAAUUCUAAUUUUGUGUUAAAAAAAAUACCCCUUAGGUUAGUGUUACUUCUAAGGUUCUUCCUUCAAACCUCUUUUUUUUUACUCCUCAAGUGCUUGGAGAAUUAAAGCUGUCUGGACUCA